CCACCCCCCUUCUCGUGGUCUGAUUCUGAUAUGAAGUGGUUUGAUUGACAUUUGCCGCCGGUGACUCCAACCUGUCGGUGUUCUCCGGCGAAAUUGACAGUCAACCUCCUUCCUCUCCCUCGCUGUAAACAAUGGAUCAAUCGUUUUUGCUGAUGCUAACAAAUCUUCUUCAUCUUCAGAACCACCUUGACCCUACCACCUCUCUCCUUUCCGAUUCCAGUUCCUCUUAUUCUUCCUCCAUCGCUUCACCCACCUCCCCUACUUCCCUCCUCACCUCCACCUCUGCCGCCCCUCUCCUCUUCUUCACCAUCGCCUCUGUUCUCUCUUACCUCGCCACCCACCACUCACCCAACAAAAAACCCAAAACUUCACCUAAUAACGACAACAACAACCCCUCUUCUCCAUCUCACGCCGCCGCUGCCGCCGAAUUCUCCGUCUCGGCCUUCCGUGCUCUCUCCACUGAACAUAUUUGGGCCAUGGAAGCUCCUCUCCGUGACGCUCAGUGGCGUUCCCUGUACGGCUUAUCAUAUCCAGUUUUCACCACCGUUGUCGAUAAGCUGAAACCCUACAUUACUCAGUCUCAACUUUGUCUCCCUUCCGAUUACGCCGUUGCUAUGGUACUUUCUAGACUCUUCCACGGCUUUUCUGCUAAAACCCUAGCUACCCGUUAUGGCCUUGAACCUUACCUGAUCUCGAAAAUUACUAACAUGGUUACCCGGCUCUUGGCUACUAAGCUUUACCCUGAAUUUAUCAAGAUUCCGGUGAGUCGCCGCCGUCUAGUGGAGACCACUCAAGGGUUUCAAGAGCUGACUUCACUCCCUAAUAUAUGCGGAGCUAUUGAUGGAACGGCCGUUAGGCUGCAACAUCUACCGUCAGACACAGUUAACUCUUCUAUGUACUUUAGUAAAUAUGGAUUCCCCUCCGUAUUGCUUCAGGUUGUUGCUGAUCACAAGAAGAUAUUUUGGGAUGUUUGUGUGAAAGCCCCGGGGGGAUUUGAUGAUGCUACGCAUUUUAGGGAUAGUUUGUUGUAUAACAGGUUGAUUUCUGGUGAUAUUGUUUGGGACAAAGGGGUUAUUGUUAGGGGACAACAUGUGAGGCCUUAUAUUGUUGGGG
rnacentral:lncRNA from 1 species